CUGAAACAUGCUAAUUCAUAACCUUUUUUCAUUCGCUUGACUUACAUGCUUCCUUUGAACGCUAUGUACCAAGAGGCAUCACAGACUUACACAGGUGACACAUCACCUGACAGGUUUAUUAAAGGCCUCUCUGUUUAGAAUGUUACCAGGAAUUACUGCAAAUUCAUUAGAUUUUGCUCAGGAUGAUAUCAUCAUUUGCUUAGAUGCCGAAACGCCCCAAAUCUGCCAGAACGGUCCCACAUUUUGGGGUACUGUCACUGCAUUUUGAAAUCUGCCAGCAGUUGUACAAGUGCAGGAAGGGAUUGGGCAGUAGAAUCAGGCACUGAACGCUCCAGCGAUGACUCUGGGCAGAGUCUGCUUGAGAUGUCAGGCUUUUCAUGGGUGCCCCCCUUGGUGGGUAG